rnacentral:rRNA from 1 species
UACGUAGGUGGCAAGCGUUGUCCGGAUUUACUGGGCGUAAAGAGCGCGCAGGCGGUCGUCCAAGUCGCGUGUGAAAGCCCCCGGCUCAACUGGGGAGGGUCACGCGAUACUGGUCGACUCGAAGGCAGGAGAGGGUAGUGGAAUUCCCGGUGUAGUGGUGAAAUGCGCAGAUAUCAGGAGGAACACCGGUGGCGAAGGCGGGUCUCUGGGCCGAAACUGACGCUGAGGAGCGAAAGCGUGGGGAGCGAACAGG